UAUUAUUAUUAUUUUUCUAUGUUUAAGUGCUUAUGUUCUUUGUAGUAAGAGAUUUUGCAUUGGAUAGUUUUUCCCAAGCAUGAAAUUUUACUUAUUUUAGUAUAAAUUGACUACUUGUUUCCCCCUAUGUGGAAAUUUCCUUAUAGAAUGUGUAAUAUGUGUAUCUGGUUUCUUUGUGUUUUGUUCUGUUCUAAGAGUUCUGCAGAUAUUAAUUGAAGAACUUAUUUCACAAAUCGUGUAAUGCAUGCUUUUACCUGCAUUUUUGUGUUACCAAUUGAUUUUAUGCAAACUGUGCAGUUCCUUCUACAAUAACAUGGUGA
rnacentral:misc_RNA from 1 species